rnacentral:tRNA from 1 species
AGGGAUUUAGGUUAAUAAAGACCAAGAGCCUUCAAAGCUCUAAGCAAGUUAGUAAACUUAAUCCCUG